CAUCCAUCCGUUACUGAAGGAAAAAAUAAAUUAAGAAUCUUGUUAGACUGUUAGGUUCUGAUUCAUUAAUAGUGGCUAUACUAUGUGUUUGGCUGUUAACUGAGAGAAAAUGAAGGUCCAUGAGAGAGCUGUGUAUCGGCUGCCAAUGACUGAGUACAAAAUGGGUGUCAUGUCUGCAGACAGGCAGAUUCUUUUCAGGCAGAAGUGAAAUUCACUCACCAGAUGCACCAUAAGGAUAAUGAAAGUGGAUCUAGACACAUGUCUACCAGGCAGUGAACUGACACCAUCGAUCCAUUUGGCUGAAAAUGAAGUCCAUGAACAAAAGCUGCCUGGGCUGGGCUGCACACCAAGGUUUGUGGUUUAGCUCCACCAUCUCUGAUUUCCCUCAUGCAUGCGAAGAGGAAUGCCUGUGAUUGAAGAAGGCAAGAAGGUCUUGUGGCUAAGGUGUCCUUUUCAUGAAGAGAGAGGCAAGAAAACACAUCCUUCUAAAGCACCUAAGGCCAGGAUCAACUUCUGUUCACAGGCAUAGACACACCGUUUUCUUUGUAUCCAACAGGAGCUGCUUAUAUAUCUAAAGAUAGCCCCUAGGCUCUACAAGUUUGAAAACUUCCCAGCCAAGGAGUGAAUGUUUCUCUCCUCUCAGUUUUUAUCAUUCACUGACUAUCCUCCAAAUACAUCCUUUGUUAAUUUGAAAGCCUUGAGAGAAGGCCUGGGAGCAAUCCACCUUUCUGGAAUGCGUUGAUGGUAACUUUCUUCUCCAUGUGACAGAGGAGCCAACCAGAAGUGCAGUGCUGGACCUUGUUCUCACCAGCAAGAAAAGGCUGGAGGUGAAUGUGAAGCUCAAGGGGCAACCUUGGUGGAG